ACUCGAGUGGCGAACGGGUGAGUAACACUGGGUAAUCUGCCCUGCACUCUGGGAUAAGCCUGGGAAACUGGGUCUAAUACUGGAUAUGACCUUUCUCCCUAUGGGGUUUGGUGGAAAGUUUUUCGGUGUAGGAUGAGCCCGCGGCCUAUCAGCUUGUUGGUGGGGUGAUGGCCUACCAAGGCGACGACGGGUAGCCGGCCUGAGAGGGUGAUCGGCCACAUUGGGACUGAGAUACGGCCCAG
rnacentral:rRNA from 1 species